UNCAAUGCAGAUGCUAUCUUAGAAAGUGGC
rnacentral:piRNA from 1 species